rnacentral:rRNA from 1 species
GGGACACGUGGUAUCCUGUCUGAAUAUGGGGGGACCAUCCUCCAAGGCUAAAUACUCCUGACUGACCGAUAGUGAACCAGUACCGUGAGGGAAAGGCGAAAAGAACCCCGGCGAGGGGAGUGAAAAAGAACCUGAAACCGUGUACGUACAAGCAGUGGGAGCACGCUUAGGCGUGUGACUGCGUACCUUUUGUAUAAUGGGUCAGCGACUUAUAUUCUGUAGCAAGGUUAACCGAAUAGGGGAGCCGAAGGGAAACCGAGUCUUAACUGGGCGUUAAGUUGCAGGGUAUAGACCCGAAACCCGGUGAUCUAGCCAUGGGCAGGUUGAAGGUUGGGUAACACUAACUGGAGGACCGAACCGACUAAUGUUGAAAAAUUAGCGGAUGACUUGUGGCUGGGGGUGAAAGGCCAAUCAAACCGGGAGAUAGCUGGUUCUCCCCGAAAGCUAUUUAGGUAGCGCCUCGUGAAUUCAUCUCCGGGGGUAGAGCACUGUUUCGGCAAGGGGGUCAUCCCGACUUACCAACCCGAUGCAAACUGCGAAUACCGGAGAAUGUUAUCACGGGAGACACACGGCGGGUGCUAACGUCCGUCGUGAAGAGGGAAACAACCCAGACCGCCAGCUAAGGUCCCAAAGUCAUGGUUAAGUGGGAAACGAUGUGGGAAGGCCCAGACAGCCAGGAUGUUGGCUUAGAAGCAGCCAUCAUUUAAAGAAAGCGUAAUAGCUCACUGGUCGAGUCGGCCUGCGCGGAAGAUGUAACGGGGCUAAACCAUGCACCGAAGCUGCGGCAGCGACACUAUGUGUUGUUGGGUAGGGGAGCGUUCUGUAAGCCUGUGAAGGUGUGCUGUGAGGCAUGCUGGAGGUAUCAGAAGUGCGAAUGCUGACAUAAGUAACGAUAAAGCGGGUGAAAAGCCCGCUCGCCGGAAGACCAAGGGUUCCUGUCCAACGUUAAUCGGGGCAGGGUGAGUCGACCCCUAAGGCGAGGCCGAAAGGCGUAGUCGAUGGGAAACAGGUUAAUAUUCCUGUACUUGGUGUUACUGCGAAGGGGGGACGGAGAAGGCUAUGUUGGCCGGGCGACGGUUGUCCCGGUUUAAGCGUGUAGGCUGGUUUUCCAGGCAAAUCCGGAAAAUCAAGGCUGAGGCGUGAUGACGAGGCACUACGGUGCUGAAGCAACAAAUGCCCUGCUUCCAGGAAAAGCCUCUAAGCAUCAGGUAACAUCAAAUCGUACCCCAAACCGACACAGGUGGUCAGGUAGAGAAUACCAAGGCGCUUGAGAGAACUCGGGUGAAGGAACUAGGCAAAAUGGUGCCGUAACUUCGGGAGAAGGCACGCUGAUAUGUAGGUGAAGUCCCUCGCGGAUGGAGCUGAAAUCAGUCGAAGAUACCAGCUGGCUGCAACUGUUUAUUAAAAACACAGCACUGUGCAAACACGAAAGUGGACGUAUACGGUGUGACGCCUGCCCGGUGCCGGAAGGUUAAUUGAUGGGGUU